rnacentral:rRNA from 1 species
AGGACGAACGCUGGCGGCGUGCCUAAUACAGGCAAGUCGAGCGGACAGAUGGGAGCUUGCUCCCUGAUGUUAGCGGCGGACGGGUGAGUAACACGUGGGUAACCUGCCUGUAAGACUGGGAUAACUCCGGGAAACCGGGGCUAAUACCGGAUGGUUGUUUGAACCGCAUGGUUCAAACAUAAAAGGUGGCUUCGGCUACCACUUACAGAUGGACCCGCGGCGCAUUAGCUAGUUGGUGAGGUAACGGCUCACCAAGGCGACGAUGCGUAGCCGACCUGAGAGGGUGAUCGGCCACACUGGGACUGAGACACGGCCCAGACUCCUACGGGAGGCAGCAGUAGGGAAUCUUCCGCAAUGGACGAAAGUCUGACGGAGCAACGCCGCGUGAGUGAUGAAGGUUUUCGGAUCGUAAAGCUCUGUUGUUAGGGAAGAACAAGUGCCGUUCGAAUAGGGCGGUACCUUGACGGUACCUAACCAGAAAGCCACGGCUAACUACGUGCCAGCAGCCGCGGUAAUACGUAGGUGGCAAGCGUUGUCCGGAAUUAUUGGGCGUAAAGGGCUCGCAGGCGGUUUCUUAAGUCUGAUGUGAAAGCCCCCGGCUCAACCGGGGAGGGUCAUUGGAAACUGGGGAACUUGAGUGCAGAAGAGGAGAGUGGAAUUCCACGUGUAGCGGUGAAAUGCGUAGAGAUGUGGAGGAACACCAGUGGCGAAGGCGACUCUCUGGUCUGUAACUGACGCUGAGGAGCGAAAGCGUGGGGAGCGAACAGGAUUAGAUACCCUGGUAGUCCACGCCGUAAACGAUGAGUGCUAAGUGUUAGGGGGUUUCCGCCCCUUAGUGCUGCAGCUAACGCAUUAAGCACUCCGCCUGGGGAGUACGGUCGCAAGACUGAAACUCAAAGGAAUUGACGGGGGCCCGCACAAGCGGUGGAGCAUGUGGUUUAAUUCGAAGCAACGCGAAGAACCUUACCAGGUCUUGACAUCCUCUGACAAUCCUAGAGAUAGGACGUCCCCUUCGGGGGCAGAGUGACAGGUGGUGCAUGGUUGCCGUCAGCUCGUGUCGUGAGAUGUUGGGUUAAGUCCCGCAACGAGCGCAACCCUUGAUCUUAGUUGCCAGCAUUCAGUUGGGCACUCUAAGGUGACUGCCGGUGACAAACCGGAGGAAGGUGGGGAUGACGUCAAAUCAUCAUGCCCCUUAUGACCUGGGCUACACACGUGCUACAAUGGACAGAACAAAGGGCAGCGAAACCGCGAGGUUAAGCCAAUCCCACAAAUCUGUUCUCAGUUCGGAUCGCAGUCUGCAACUCGACUGCGUGAAGCUGGAAUCGCUAGUAAUCGCGGAACAGCAUGCCGCGGUGAAUACGUUCCCGGGCCUUGUACACACCGCCCGUCACACCACGAGAGUUUGUAACACCCGAAGUCGGUGAGGUAACCUUUUAGGAGCCAGCCGCCGAAGGUGGGACAGAUGAUUGGGGUGAAGUCGAAACAAGGUA